UACGGGGGGGGCAAGCGUUGUUCGGAAUUACUGGGCGUAAAGGGCUCGUAGGUGGCCAACUAAGUCAGACGUGAAAUCCCUCGGCUUAACCGGGGAACUGCGUCUGAUACUGGAUGGCUUGAGUUCGGGAGAGGGAUGCGGAAUUCCAGGUGUAGCGGUGAAAUGCGUAGAUAUCUGGAGGAACAUCAGUGGCGAAAGCGACUUCCUGGACCAAUACUGACGCUCAUGUGCGAAAGCGUGGGGAGCAAACAGG
rnacentral:rRNA from 1 species